rnacentral:lncRNA from 1 species
GGCUUUAUUGUUUAUUGUCAGUGUCCUGCUGAACCACACUGGCUUGGCCUGUGCAGUUGACGAGAAGCAGCGUGUCCAGACCCCUCUCCUUGCCUGUGGUCUUCUGUUGAGUGUACAUCGAGUUGUGCUUCUUUCAAGGAUGUCCUUUAUCAGGUGGAGGAAGCUCACUUCUCUUCCUGUUCCUCGGCUGCUGGUGCCAUUAACUGGACAGCAUGCUCUGAGGGGCACGCAUGUGGUGUGGUGCAGUGUGGCCAGCACAUGGAGGGAUGUGGCCAGCACAUGGAGGGAUGUGGCCAGCACAUGGAGGGAUGUGGCCAGCACAUGGAGGGAUGUGGCCAGUACAUGGAGGGAUGUGGCCAGCACAUGGGGGGAUGUGACCAGCACAUGGGGGGAUGUGACCAGCACAUGGUCGUGGUGGCUAUUUGUUUCCCUUAGCUGCCAACCUUCAAGUUCCUGAGGAAAACACUAAUUUUCACAGGUGUCACCAGCGUGUGAUUUUUCUUUCCACAGGUCUCACGCAGAAUAAUAAUUAAAGAUUCACUGCUUUCUUUGCUCUUCUACAGAGUUACUGUGAUCCAGCGUCUUACAAUGACCGUGUUCAGGGUUUGCCCGGAGAAUGUUUGGUUGUUGUCAUAAAAAUGAACUUUUCAAUAUUACAGGCUUUAUGUUCCUAAGAGUAAUAUACACCAUGAAACAAUGCUUUUGCCAGGUGUGGUGGCAGGCACAGGUAGGCAGAUCUCUGU